UAAGGAAUAUUGGUCAAUGGGCGGAAGCCUGAACCAGCCAUGCCGCGUGCAGGAAGACGGCCCUACGGGUUGUAAACUGCUUUUGUACUGGAAUAAACCUUCGUAUGUAUACGAAGCUGAAUGUACAGUAAGAAUAAGGAUCGGCUAACUCCGUGCCAGCAGCCGCGGUAAUACGGAGGAUCCAAGCGUUAUCCGGAUUUAUUGGGUUUAAAGGGUGCGUAGGCGGUUUAUUAAGUCAGGGGUGAAAGACGGCAGCUUAACUGUCGCAGUGCCCUUGAUACUGAUGAACUUGAAUGUACUAGAAGUAGGCGGAAUGUGACAAGUAGCGGUGAAAUGCAUAGAUAUGUCACAGAACACCGAUUGCGAAGGCAGCUUACUAUGGUAUGAUUGACGCUGAGGCACGAAAGCGUGGGGAUCAAACAGGAUUAGAUACCCGCGUAGUCC
rnacentral:rRNA from 1 species